rnacentral:rRNA from 1 species
CAGUCGCCGCGGUAAAACGUAGGUGGCAAGCGUUGUCCGGAAUUAUUGGGCGUAAAGCGCGCGCAGGCGGAUCAGUUAGUCUGUCUUAAAAGUUCGGGGCUUAACCCCGUGAUGGGAUGGAAACUGCUGAUCUAGAGUAUCGGAGAGGAAAGUGGAAUUCCUAGUGUAGCGGUGAAAUGCGUAGAUAUUAGGAAGAACACCAGUGGCGAAGGCGACUUUCUGGACGAAAACUGACGCUGAGGCGCGAAAGCCAGGGGAGCGAACGGGAUUAGAUACCCCCGUAGUCCUGUCUCUUAUACAC